rnacentral:rRNA from 1 species
UAGUGAGGUCUCCGGAUUGGCUUUGGGGAGCCGGCGACGGCACCCUAUUGCUGAGAAGCUGAUCAAACUUGGUCAUUUAGAGGAAGUAAAAGUCGUAACAAGGUU